UCUCUUGUGGCGUAAGGGGUAAAGCGCCCUAACUAGAGAUCAGGAAGUCGUGAGUUCGAUUCUCAUCGAGAAGA
rnacentral:tRNA from 1 species